GCCAGACUCCUACGGGAGGCAGCAGUGGGGGAUAUUGCACAAUGGGGGGAACCCUGAUGCAGCGACGCCGCGUGGGUGAGGAAGUACCCCGGUAUGUAAAGCCCUUUCGGCAGGGAAGAAAAUGACGGUACCUGGCGAAGAAGCCCCGGCUAACUACGUGCCAGCAGCCGCGGUAAUACGUAGGGGGCAAGCGUUAUCCGGAUUUACUGGGUGUAAAGGGGGCGCAGACGGCGAUGCAAGCCAGGAGUGAAAGCCCGGGGCCCAACCCCGGGACUGCUCUUGGAACUGCGUGGCUGGAGUGCAGGAGGGGCAGGCGGAAUUCCUGGUGUAGCGGUGAAAUGCGUAGAUAUCAGGAGGAACACCGGUGGCGAAGGCGGCCUGCUGGACUGCAACUGACGUUGAGGCCCGAAAGCGUGGGGAGCAAACAGGAUUAGAUACCCUUGUA
rnacentral:rRNA from 1 species